rnacentral:rRNA from 1 species
GAACGCUGGCGGCGUGCCUAAUACAUGCAAGUCGAGCGGACAGAUGGGAGCUUGCUCCCUGAUGUUAGCGGCGGACGGGUGAGUAACACGUGGGUAACCUGCCUGUAAGACUGGGAUAACUCCGGGAAACCGGGGCUAAUACCGGAUGGUUGUCUGAACYGCAUGGUUCAGACAUAAAAGGUGGCUUCGGCUACCACUUACAGAUGGACCCGCGGCGCAUUAGCUAGUUGGUGAGGUAACGGCUCACCAAGGCGACGAUGCGUAGCCGACCUGAGAGGGUGAUCGGCCACACUGGGACUGAGACACGGCCCAGACUCCUACGGGAGGCAGCAGUAGGGAAUCUUCCGCAAUGGACGAAAGUCUGACGGAGCAACGCCGCGUGAGUGAUGAAGGUUUUCGGAUCGUAAAGCUCUGUUGUUAGGGAAGAACAAGUGCCGUUCAAAUAGGGCGGCACC